GGGUCCACAGCAUCUGUUGCCCCACGGACCCUAAUGCUGGUGACAGCACGGCUGCCCCGUGCCGUGCCCAUCCCUCCUCCAGCGAUGGCACGGCCACCCCACACCGUGCCCAUCCCUCCUCCGGCGCUGGGCGAGCAGGGUCCAAGCCUCAGCGCCGCAUCCACACCCAAGUCAAAUGCCUGUGGCGGCUGCUGCUCCCUGCCACAGGUCUGCCAUGCUCGCUGACCGAGAGUGUCUUCUCAGCACCCCUCCUGGGGGCUUUGGCCUUAAUGUAAGAAAUUCUGUCUUUUUUCUGACCAUGAGAGAAACCCGGGUGAAACCCCAUUUUGUUUGCAUUCAUACGAGCUGUCGCUGGGACUUUUUCUCCUGUGCUUGUUCUCUGAAAAAGCAAAUCUCCCGUAGUCUGGGAUGAGCGGUAUCUAGUCUUUUCACAGAUUCACAGAAUCACAGAAGGGUUGAAGUUGGAAGGGACCUCUGGAGAUCACCUAGUCCACCCUGCACAAACAGGGUCACCUAGAGCAUGUUGCACAAGAUCACAUCCAGGCAGAUUUUGAAUACCUCCAGAGAAAGAGAUUCCACAACCUCUCUGGGCAGCUUGUUCCAGUGCUCUGUUACCCUCACAGUAAAGAAGUUUUUCCUCAUAUUCAGAUGGAACUUCCUGUGUUUCAGUUUGUGCCCGUUGCCUCUCAUCCUGUUGCUGGGCACCACUGAAAAGAGUCUGGCCCUGGCCUCUUUACACUCUCCCUUUAGAUAUUUGUAGACAUGUAGAUCCCCUCUCAUUCUCUUCUCCAGGCUAAACACGCCCAGGUCUCUCAGCCUUUCCUCAUAGGAGAGAUGCUCCAGUCCCUUCAUCAUCUUCAUAGCCCUACGCUGGACUCGCUCCAGCAGGUCCAUUUCUCUCUUGUCCUGGGGAGCCCAGCACUGGACACAGCACUCCAGAUGUGGCCUCACCAGGGCUGAGUAGAGGGGCAGGAUCACCUCCCUCGACCUGCUGGCAAUGCUCUUCCUAAUGCAUCCCAGGAUACCACUGGCCUUGGCCACAAGAGCACAUUGCUGGCUCAUGGUCAACUUGUCCACCAGGACCCCCAGGUCCUUCUCCGCAGAGCUGCCUUCCAGCAGACGCUGCAUCCUGGCCUUACUCCUGAGCCUGAUGAAGGGGCUGCAUCCAAGGUGGAUUUAAAGCCAGACGACCGUCUGUGAAAACCUUGUGACAUUAAUAGGUAACAUGCGCGUCUUUAUAGAUGUGGCCAAACAUGUUAUCUUCAACGAUUCGAUGAGGAAACCUCUGCGCCCUGCAGAGAGGACAGCGCAGCUGGAGGCAGCAGGAUUCAGCGGUCCUGGGAACUGUUGUGUUCGGGGCAGAGCGAGGCGCGUGGGAAACCUUCCCCGGAAACCUCACAUGAGUGAAGCCCUGUGCCUGCGCCGCGACCCAGGGAAACGGGGACAGACAGCCAAAUCGCUCUCAAAGGUGCAGAGAGGCUUCUGCUUUGCGUAUCCAGGACUCGGUGGUGAAGGAAAAAAACAAGCGAACAAACAAGCAAGCUGAAAACCUCCUGAGAUCACAUAAGUCCACAGAGCAGGAUUUUGAGAUUUUUUUUUUUACCCCCUCACAGCAGCAGGGCAUGGGACCCCGGACAUCGUUUGAAACCAUGACAGCAACUGAAAUCAAACCUGAAUUGGCCCGGCUGUUUCUAUUGUUGGGUCCACGCAAGAGGACUGGAGGCCUUGCAUCAAAAUGUGAUGUCAGAAAAAGCAAUCUACACUCUAAGAGCAUUGUUAUAUCAUUUGUGUUAGUGUUGUGCUCAGGAGCAUCAGGAAAGGACCCCGCUGCGUUGGCACAGCCCCGUGUGUGCACCACCAGGGUGGACAUCCAGCAUCCUUGGAAAUGAGAGACCUGCUGUGACAAUGACGUUCAGUGACCUCCAGCAACAGUCUCAUACACCAGAAGGGCUUUGAUGCAACACGGAGCAGAAGAGUCAAUGCUUUUGUCCAGCUGAAGAUGUUUUUCCUUUUUUUUUUUCCCCCCCAACAUUUGAUGCCCCAGCAGGAGGUUGAAAAGUGUUAAUUAACAGUUCUGUUUUCUGUUUUGCAAAAGGAAGGAAGUGAAACAAGCUGCAACUUUGUGUUGAAUUUGGCAAAUUCUUUCAUCUGAAAGAGUGAGGUUUUUAAGCUGUUGCUCAUUUAUGGGAUGGAAAGCAAUUUACUGCAACUUUUUCUGUGUGGAACUUGUUAACUUUUUGCUUCAAAAAAUUUUCAGUAUAACCACACAGUUUAACGUCAAGUGGAAGUUCUUUAACAGGGGCUAAGAGAAAGCCCUGCUUUUCCUCAAUUUGCUUUACCUUUUCAUAUGAGAGAAUUGUCUUCCUGACAAGUUUUUGUCCUAAAUUUGAGCUUUCUGGCAUAACUUGGUUUGCCCCCACUGUAUUUCAGGCGGUAGAUUUUGGAGCCCAAACUCAGCAUAGGAAUUGGCCCUGCCUUUAACAGCAGUGAAAUGGAUUCUGGAGCAGGAAAGAAAAUCCCCUGGGAUCUUAGAAUGCCUAAAAUCCUUCCCUAGAGCCAGAGGGAAACUUGUCAGUGUGAAACAGCAGAGAGAGGUCCUUUUUUUGGAAAGUCUUGUCCUGUUUCUGCAGCUUUCUAGUUGCUCUGUUUGACUGUGACGUGAGUGGUGUCCAUGGAUGUGGAGAGCACCCAGUAAAUGGAGAGCUGCUGCUCCAGCAAUCUGCAGAGUCACUUCUUAGGAGACAUGCAGCUUUUUCAUCAAAACAAACAGCUAUAUGCAGCGUGCAUUCAAGACAGUAGCUCCAAUAACCUUUGUUAGUACUGCUAUCUCUCUUUAAACGUGCUACCCAUUACCAGUAAUCUAUUUACUUUAAUUGCCAAAGCCAUUAAGGCUCUGCAGAGUAUGAAAGAAAAAAAAAGUCUAUGCAAUUAUCGGUUCCCAAAUUGAGUUAAAAUCUUAUAAUAAAUUACAGAGAAGGCUACUUUGUGCCAUGACUAUCAGAGAUACAUUUAAUUCUCUGCAGCUCCAAGCUAUAUGUGCUUCAGGGGAGAAACUCAAUUAAAAAAAGACCUAUUUCAUUUUAAUUGCUAGAUUAAUGAAACUGCCAUCACCUGUAGCAUCCCCAUGUGCACGUCUAGACCUUCUAAUUUGUGCUCAGUUUCUGUUCACUGCUUGUGUCAUCCAUAUAUACUUACACGUUUGAAUGAACACAUAUGGACGAUAUACACGAGUGGAGAAUGUGUGCACACAUAUGUGCCCACAGCUCCCACCAGCAAUGGUGAAUAAGGAAAUUGGUACAAAUAACUCUUCUUUUUCUUGGAGAAAACAGUUACAACAGUCCUGCUGAGCAGUUGCACAAAGGCAGCUACAUUGGCCAAAGGGCAGGUUACAGAGAUGUGGACCAGAGGUGCCUUCAGCUCCCAAUCCGCCAGGGCCCUGAGGCUGGCUAGACCUGAUUUCCUAUUUUAUAAGGGCAAUUUGUGGCUUAUACAGUUGAGUUCCUGGAGCUGCUAGAGGGAAUGACCUUGUCACACAUUGGAGUGUAUCCAUCUGGAGCCCGGGCCCUGCUAGGUGAUAAGAACAAGGAAAUAAAGGUGAGGAUGAACACUGACUCUGCUGGAGCCGUGGUGGUGCUUUAUGCUGGGUGUAGCCCCAUAAUACAGUCCCGCGGUGGCUAGUAACAGGCCAUAAGCUUUGUGCUGAAUUUGCAAGGCCUCAGGCCUGAGGCUGGUCGGGCCUGCUCUGUCCUGACCUGCCUGCAGCUUGGUUUUACCUUGUUUAGCUGUGACAGCAAUCUAACUGACCAGGUGAGACCCCACAGCUAUAGACACCUCGUUAGUGGUCAGUUAAAGAAAUGCAGCCCUGGAGCUGGACAAAGCUGUUUGUCAGGGUAACAAGGAGAACAAGGAAGUAAUAUCUAACAUACGUAAAAGCCAGCAUAUAUAGUAAAUUUGGAUGUAGCCUGGAGCUGUAGACAAAUGAAGAAAAAGCAAGGUGUAGAAGUGUGUUAGCAAACACCAUACAAAAAUGACCCCAAGUGGAUCCUGGAGAGAGAAAGAAGAAACCAUCAACGUGGACAUUGUUGCUCCCGGUGAAGGACUCCAGAUGCCAACAACUUGCCGCAACAACCCCACCAACACCAGAGUGAAACCACCAACUAUAUUAUUAUAUAUUAUUAUUAUAUUUAUUAUUAUUAUUGAAACAUUUUCUACAUAGACAUUAUUUCUUUUUCUAUAAUAAUUAUAUCUGGUCUAGUAAUGAUGCUUGGAUUAGGCUGUUUAGAUGAUUUCAGUUAUACUAACAACAAAUUCUUGGCU